ACAAAAAUACAGCGUUCGGCGGCAGCUCAUCGCGUAGUAGCUAACACCUCGCGACUGGAGAGCGGCGCGGCCACGCCGUAAAACACCCAACUCUCUGAAGUUGACCUCGAAUCAGGUAGGAAUACCCGCUGAACUUAAGCAUAUCAAUAAGCGGAGGAAAAGAAACCAACAGGGAUUGCCCCAGUAACGGCGAGUGAAGCGGCAACAGCUCAAAUUUGAAAUCUGGCUCUCGGGCCCGAGUUGUAAUUUGUAGAGGAUGCUUUUGGUGAGGUGCCUUCCGAGUUCCCUGGAACGGGACGCCAUAGAGGGUGAGAGCCCCGUCUGGUUGGACGCCGAACCUCUGUAAAGCUCCUUCGACGAGUCGAGUAGUUUGGGAAUGCUGCUCUAAAUGGGAGGUAUAUGUCUUCUAAAGCUAAAUACCGGCCAGAGACCGAUAGCGCACAAGUAGAGUGAUCGAAAGAUGAAAAGAACUUUGAAAAGAGAGUUAAACAGUACGUGAAAUUGUUGAAAGGGAAGCGCUUGUGACCAGACUUGGGCUUGGUUGAUCAUCCGGGGUUCUCCCCGGUGCACUCUUCCGGCCUAGGCCAGCAUCAGUUCGCCCUGGGGGAUAAAGGCUUCGGGAACGUGGCUCUCUCCGGGGAGUGUUAUAGCCCGCUGCGUAAUACCCUGUGGCGGACUGAGGUUCGCGCAUUCGCAAGGAUGCUGGCGUAAUGGUCAUCAGUGACCCGUCUUGAAACACGGACCAAGGAGUCGUCUUCGUAUGCGAGUGUUCGGGUGUCAAACCCCUACGCGAAAUGAAAGUGAACGCAGGUGAGAGCUUCGGCGCAUCAUCGACCGAUCCUGAUGUUAUCGGAUGGAUUUGAGUAAGAGCAUACGGGGCCGGACCCGAAAGAAGGUGAACUAUGCCUGUGUAGGGUGAAGCCAGAGGAAACUCUGGUGGAGGCUCGCAGCGGUUCUGACGUGCAAAUCGAUCGUCAAACAUGGGCAUGGGGGCGAAAGACUAAUCGACUCC
rnacentral:rRNA from 1 species